rnacentral:lncRNA from 1 species
CUGAGAGGAGCCAUUUAGUUCACUUCAAGAAAUAUGUAUUACAUACUCUCGGAGUAUUAACAAGCAACAGUGAAAGAGAGAGUUUCCAUUUUCAAGAAGCUUUUCUCUGGAAUGAGGAGCUCACCACUAAGUUAAAAGUACCAGUAAGUAUCAGACAAUCAGAUUCAUGUUUUUAAACCAGGAAAGUAUCAGCUCAAUGAGCACCUCCAGGGGGAAAAGGGCACCAAAGUCCCAUAGGAGGCUUCUGGGCAUGGCCAGAGAGCAUGGGCUCCAGAUGCUGAUGGCUGCACCACUCGCUGCCUGAGUGGCCUUGACAAAGACGAUGAAUUUGCUGAAAAUGCUACUUCCCUAUCAACAAAAUGGAAAUAAUCUUGUAAGGUGAUUCAGAGAUACACACAGAUGGCAGGCAUGCAAAAAACCUUCUCUUGACCACCUCUCCUGCAAGCAAUCUCCAGUUGCCUCUGCCAUCACCUCAUCAUGAGAGUCCCAGAUCCCCCCACUCUCCUGGCAGUUUUGUCCAGGGACAGUUCUGUCCACAGAAAUGACCAAAUGAUUAUAUCAUGGAAUCUCAAAGAAAAUAUGAGAAGUUAUUUAGUCCAUGUAGAAAGAAGGUGAAGAAAAAUAUUCAAUGUAAUUUAAAUUGUUUUGUAAUUGGCCAGGUGUGGUGGUUCAUGCCUGUAACCCCAGCACGUUGAGAGCCCAAGGUGGGCAGAUCACCUGAGGUUAGGAGUUCAAGACCAUCCUGGCCAACAUGGUGAAACCCGG